AUACCUUUCUCGGCCUUUUGGCUAAGAUCAAGUGUAGUAUCUGUUCUUAUCAGUUUAAUAUCUGAUAUGUGGGUCAUCGGCCCACACGAUAUUAACUCAAUUUUUUAAGGAGGAGAGUCUAUUAAAGUAGCUUGCUACUUGGGCUCUCGAGCGUCGCCUAUGUGUUGCACUACAGCAUGGGCCUGGCGCACCCCAC
rfam:Nicotiana sylvestris Nsyl_contig192079, whole genome shotgun sequence.